rnacentral:tRNA from 1 species
CGGGAUGUGGCUCAGCUUGGUAGAGCGCCUGCUUUGGGAGCAGGAUGCCGCAGGUUCGAAUCCUGUCAUCCCGA